rnacentral:lncRNA from 1 species
UAAUUGUCUACUUUGCUCAAAAUGUUUGCUUGAUCUCUUUCCUUAAAUAUUCUCUGUCCAUUACCGUUUAAGUUAAACUCCUUAAUUAAAGGAAGUCCUUAUACUAAUAGAUUUUAAUUGGUACAAAGAUUCAUAAUUACUACUAAACUAUGAUUUUUGCCUUGUUUUCUACCUAUUUUUCAAAUUAUGAAUACCAUGCUCUUUCAUUAACACAGACAUGUACACUCUUAGUUUCUGAACUCACACUCAAAAAGUAUUCUCUCUUGUUACUUGUAUUGUGGCAUGCUUUCAAGUCCUGCUACUUGCUUUUAUUGUAUCUUUCUCUUUAAAACUGGUAUGUUCUGAUUAAGAUUUUCAGCAAUCACAACAAUGUGUUUACUUAAUACUUUUACCCUUUUGUCUGCCUACUGCUUGUGUUUAGUUCAGUACUUAUUUUAGCUUGUUGUAAUUUCCUUCUACAUGUCAUGCAUCUACUAUGCAUCCUAAAUGUGUUUGCUGUUAAUGGUUUGUUUGAGGCAUGACAGUAUUAAGUAUUACUGUCUAUGACUCAAACUUGAUUCUCCUGGAAUCAUAACCUCUAUGUCACCAUCAUAUGUUGUGUAUUCUUAUUGAUUUUGUAAGUAUAAAAAUACUCUCUAUUGUUGUGCAUGCCCAGAAUUAUCUAAUGCCUAAGUACAUAGGCUCUUUGCAAUCCCCAAUCCUUGAACCCUUUUGUGUGAAAUCCUCAAUCCUGUAAUUGUUUCCCAGCACCUCUUCCCCUCCUCUUUACUUUCUUAGUUCUUUAAAACUAUGUUUCUUCACUUGCACUCUCUCUUAGACUUUAAGUUAUGCCCCUCUCUUGUGAGCCUUGCCUUGGGACCCAUUGAGCUUCCCUUGAACUUGGACAUUGAAGGGCACUUCCAUACUGCACUUGUCCCUAUUCUGGUAAUACAAUUUGGGUGUGAGCACUGCCCAGAGUCCCAUUGAGGCUCUUAGGAAACUCUGACACACUCAAAUUGGAGAUAGGCUUUGGAUCAACG